UGGGCUUCAAACUAGUAAAGUAUCGGACAGCCUCUCUGCCUCCUCUUUACACUUAUUGUUUCGUCUGCAAACCUUUCUCUAUUUUUUUAUUAAUCUAUAUUAUUUACCAUUACUUACUAUUUGCCUGUUCUCAUUUUUUUAAAUCUUUUUUCUUUUCUUUUUUUUUCCUAAAUCCCUCAAAAUAUUUUGGUCUAAAUUCGGCAAACUCUGAAUACACACAGGGAGCUGUUCAUCCACUGCAACGUAAGUACAAGUUUAUUUGGAGUGUUUCCCUAAUUCACUGUUCUUUUAUUUUGUAUCCAGAAUUUGUGCAAUGUGUCACAAAAAAGCAAAACCAACCCACCCUGGGGAUUUAUUUAUUGAGCAGUAAGUUGCGGAGAAUUGUAAUUGAAUUUAAUUACUUAGGCCAAAAACAUGGCGUUGGAGCUAUUUUUAAAACUUUCCACCAAUUUUGACCUAAAUGGUGCAAUUUCGUAUUCCAUUCAUCACACUCUGCUGUCUCGGAAAUGAAAUCCUGAAAUCUGAUUUACUUUCAAUAAAGUAUAGAGCCCAAAAGGCAGUGAAUAAAAUGGGUGAAUUACACCGUUAUUUUGUUUUUCACAGUUAAAUUGCGAAUAUUUGGUUGAAGUUUAAACACGUGUCUAAUACUGGGUGUUUUUUAAAAUGAUCAUCGAUAUGUUGCAGGUAUCGAUAACUGAUGGUUAGUUUGUGGGAAAAGAUUUUAGAUUUAUUUGCAACUUUUAAUUAUAUCAGUAUUGUGAAUUCUUUAGAUUUUUCUUUUUUUUUUUUAGUUUUUUUUUUUUUAUUAUUAUUAUUUUCCGUUUUAAUACGGUGAAGUUUAGACAUUACCAAGAUUGCAUUUACGAGGUUUUGUAGCGAUUGAUUCUGUACAGAUUCCGUAAGAGUUUAUUAUAGGUGGGGCCGUGAUAAACCGGGGACGAAGAUGGCGUCCAUUUGGUGGGGCAAUUAAAUAACGAGCGAGUUCAUAGACACACUGUCUUUGUUGAGUUAAUAUGCCCAUCAUUUUCAGUCAGGAAAUCGCUGAUUAAGUGAGAUGAGAGUUAGCCCAGCUUCACCUGGCGAGACAUGUGGGCGCACAAUGGAGUUAUAGAGGGCUGUGUUGCAUUGUGGCGUGUUAUGAAAUCAGACAACAGGUUAUAAGGAAGGAGUCUGUAUCCUAAAGAGCGCAGGGUGUUGGCUGGCAAUUUAGACAACAGCCUCCAUCAAAGCAGUGAAUUGCGCUGGGAAACAAAUAACAAAAUACUCUGAAAGGUUGUGUGUUUUGUAUAGUUACAAUGUUUGGCAUCUAAAAGGUUAACAUUGUUUGUGUAAGAGUUCUAUAUUUCGUUCUGAAAAUGAAUUAUGCUAUAGCACACAAAUAAUGCUAUAUCUGGCCUACAAUCAAGAUUUGUAAAAUCAGAAAGGUAUACGUAUGUGUGUAUAUUUAUAUCGAUAUAUUCUCUAUCUGUCUGGCUGUUCUUUUAAUUCAGCAGAUUCAUUCUAUCGGGUUUAAAGUUGUGUUUUGUCACCACAAAUUCUAAGUGACAAUACAACUUUAAAUGAAUUUUCAAUAACUAAACGAAUGAAAGAAAAUUGAUUUUUCCAUUAAAUGAUAUUUCUAAAGUAUAAGCAGUGCACUGCUGGGAUAAACAUAACGAUGGUAGCGAUGGCAGAAAACACAAUAAAACACAAGCGUUGCAUUAACUAAACAUUGAAUUUUUAUUUAGAAAAAUAGCAGCAUUUAGUCCAAGAAGCCCCUUUUCAGUCAGUUUUCCUAAUUUGGAAUUAUUGGCCUAAAUGUAGCAAACGGGUCGGGUUCUAUCACAAUAAAUUCUGGGUUUCCAUGAGGGCCAGUUUGGUAGAAUUCGGGGCCAACCUUAGUACAUGGGUGCAGACAAUAUGAUUUAUUGACGCUUUGCUUAAAGCCGUAGUAUACAGUCCAUUAACAUGUACGGUACGGCCGUCUAACCUCCUUUCUUUACUCAUGCCUGUAUACAUUUUCAUUCAUGUUUCUGAAACAAGUUGUGUCCGUCUGCUUAGCAACCGCUAACCCCUUUGCAGCCAUGCUUGUUAGUGUUAAAUGGGUUUCAAACACAAUCUGGGUUACUCGAGGUCAUAUUUAUCAAGGGCUGUUUCUUUAUUGGCAAAUAUUCCUUCCUUAAAGGUUACAGCGUGAUACAAUCCACACGCCGACAUCAUUCAUUCCCUUAUCUGACACCAUUCAUUGUCUAAAUCCCAAGUGCAGAGUUACAGGUGGGGGGAAGGGGCACCUUGUACUAAAUUUAUAUUAACUUAGGAUACUAGUAUCAUUUGCGGAUGUUGAAUUGUGUCAUUCAGAUACUUUGGAAUACAACUCCCAAAAUUCUCUGCAGUUCGAGUUCCCCUAAAAUUCGCAGGACCUUGUAUCAGCUCUCUAGCGCCCCCUGUGAUCCCUGUUUUUGCUGCCCCUUUACUGUCUGUGUUACAGUUGUCCUCAGCUCACCAAGCCCUGGAAUUAUCUGUGGAUUGUAAAACGGUCUGGGAGCGUUAAACAUGCAGACAUUCCACACGCGACUUGUUUGGCUGUUUAUUUACUAAACAUCGAAUUCUAAUGAAUGGAAAAAGGAACCGCGACAUUCAGGCUAACACUCCAGCUGUGAUUAUAUUUUAAUUGGAGGAUUUUUGAAAAGCAGCUAUUUUUGUAUCUGUGUAUCAGUUGGGUUUCAAUUCACUACAAUUCAGUGCUUUGUAAAUAAACCCCUUUGUGUGUUCUGCACUCGCCCCCUUUCUUCGAUGACUUGUUUGACAUUUUCUAUGAUCUCUGUCUCUCUGUUAGUAUGGCGGCCAUUUAUUGGCGUGACUUGCCGCCUGUGUCCUUCGGUAAACACAGAACGAUUAUUUGAAAUGUUUCUGCUCUCCCAGGUUACACCUGUAUUAGGCAGACAGAGUGCAGAGAUUUUUUGUCUUAUCGCUCGCUUUUAAUACUCCCUUUUCCUCUCUCUAUCACAGAGCGCUUAUUUGUUUCCUUAUCCUGUUAUAUAACCUCCAAAUUGUAACAAUGGAUUAACUAAUGGAAAAAACAAACAUACUGCCUGUGGUGAUAUCAAUAUAGUGACAUAUUCCCGAAUUAUCCAUUUAAUCCUUCAUUCUCGGAGUGUCUGGUGGCCUCGUGUUCAGGCUCUGUGUACCCCAGCUCCAGACUCCGGUCAUACAUCCCAUAAUAAAUGAAUCGUAAAAUGAAUAAAUAAAGAUCGCUUGUAAUGUCAGAUAAGAACUCAUUGUCCAGUCUGCUCUCAUUUUAUUUAUUCUUUAAGCUUAAAGGAACACUAUACAAUCAUGUAUUUCUAAAUAGAAAUUGGGAAAAUAGGAUUUUACUUACCUUUAUUCCAGCUCCAAGAUUAUCAUAUCUUCUAAGUGACAAUCUUUUACAUUGCAAGGGUAAAACAAAAGGACAUUCGCACCCUGACCUUCCCAUUGAGAUGAUGAUAUCUGGGUGACUUUAGAGGUCCUUUAAUCACAUCCAAGCAUUAUUCAGUUCUGUAAAGUGUUACCAUUUACUCCCUGUGUCAGUACUAAUUGUUACCUCCUGGAAGGCUAUUCCAGUUAUCUACUACCCUUUCUAUAUCACUGUUACUGCUCCCACUGGAAGGCUAUUCCAGGUAUCUACUACCCUUUCUAUAUCACUGUUACCGCUCCCACUGGGAGACUAUUCCAGGUAUCUACUACCCUUUCUAUAUCACUGUUACUGCUCCCACUGGAAGGCUAUUCCAGGUAUCUAUAUCCCUGUUGCUCCCACUGGAAGGCUAUUCCAGGUAUCUACUACCCUUUCUAUAUCUAUCCUGAUGCUUGACAGAUACAUACUUUGGUAAAAAGAAAUCAAUUGUUUUCUCAGUUGACCAAGAUUGGUCCUAUGGCGCGCGUGUUCGCUUUGAUUUAUUUUAAAGGACAUCCUUGGAGUAGGCCAGGGGAACCCAGGGACUGAGUGCAAAAUAGAGACUUUAACUGGAAUUUAAAAAAACAACAGAAAAAACACUAUCUUUAUUAUGCUUACCACACGGCAGUGUCCUUUUUGUAUCUCCAAAUGCAUUUGGUAUUAUAAUGCUGUUCUGUGCCAGUACAAGGGUUGUGUGGGUACCUACAGUGCCCCCUCCGCCCAGUGUAGGGAGUGUGUUCACAGGCAGAACUCGCACAGCCGGUAGCAGAUAUCUUCUCCCCCUGUGCGCCAGUGGCACAUAAACACAAACCUGUAGAAACUUUGAAUAAAACGCAGCGAUUUAUUUGCUAAACGCAAGACUAUAGGUGAUCUGGAGCUAUUUUACAUCCAAGCUAUUUUUCCUGACUUUUUUUUAAAUGAAAUGAUUAUUUUUAUUGCUAUUUAUAAAGCGCUAACAUAUUCUAUAGUGCUGUACAAUAUAAACAGACCAAGACAGAAUGUCAUCCAGAGGGGUUUACAGUUAUCGAUAAUUAAUAAACACAAAUUGAUACAAACGGAACAGAGGGCUCGACCCGUGAGCGUACAGUCUUGUAAUUACAGUACUUUAUACAAAGUGCUUAGCUCGUGAGCUUACAAUCAAAAGGCAAUAAUGGGGAGCUGAGACAUAAGGGGGUGUUUGAAGUUGGUGGCCAUAGAUCUGGAUCCAUAUGUUGGUAGUGAGUACCUCGUCAGGCAGUUAAACAGGAUUCGAGGCAGCUGAGGGGGAACACUAUAAUGAAAGCUGGAGCCGGGGGAGGGGGGGUGGUGAAUAGGGGCGCAGGUCGGAAUAUGGAGAAAGAAUAAAUGUAAAGGAAGUUCGGAAUCCACAAACAUUAGGAGGUAUGAAAUUGGGAUGGGUUGGGGGGCCUUCAAAGGGGUGACACUCACACAAUGCUGUAUUUAAUUCGCUGCAAUUUAAUAUUUUAUGAAUAAAUCGUAUUCUAUUAUUCUAUACAAGCAUCGUAGAGCAAUGUAUUGGUCAAAGUUUACAUUUAAUUUUAGUGAUACAUUUUGUAGCAAUAUGAUGGUCCUGGGUCCAGUAAUAUCAGCUACAGAAAUGCUCUUUUCUAUCCGGUGGUCAGUAUAUCAUUUGCAGGUCAGCAUAUAAUUCUCUGGUCAUUAUAAAUUGCCAACUAGGAGCUUGUACUUUUUAUUACUAAAUUAUAUUUCUACCCAUUUGUGAAUUUGAUUAGAAAAAACAAACAAAUGUAUUAUAUUGAAAGUUGAAAAUAGCCAAUUUGGAAUAAACCUCUAAGUCCACUGUAGACACAGACUGUGCCUCAACGUAAACGUCCACCAUAAUUCACUGUUUAGUGAAUAAAUCCUAAAAGCUUAUUGUAACGCUAUUUGGGCAGGAGGUGAGUUAGAUUACUAUGAGGUUAGAGAAACCUUUUUUGAUGAAUUGACGUGACUGCCAUCUGAUAUUUAGAAAGCAGAAGGAACGUUUUACACUCAGCUGACCUGUCUAUAGAGGAUUCCAGUAAUAUUUUUAUAUUGUGUAUAUUUCUGAUUUAUGUAUAAUCUCGCUAUAAUCAGUUAUUUCAGGAACAGCAGCUAUUUGGGUCUGCGGUUGAUCACCCCGUGUAACUCAGCCCAUGGUGCUUUUUGGGCCUGGCAUUCAGCUGUGCCAGGGCGGCAGUGAUGGGAGUGACAGGGACAGUUAAAUUUUUGUGUAUUUGGCUGCCAUGGACACUCCGCAAGCUGCUUUCAUGUGGCUGUGACGAAGCGUCUGCUUCAGGGUAAAAGACCGUAGAUCCUCUCUCGCGAACCCACAACGGUCGUUUUUUUUCCCCUGACUUAAGCAAAAAACAAGGGCUCAUGAAAUAUUCAAUAAUACUUUGUUUUCUCAUAAGGACAUAAACGUUUCCAUCCAGCACAACAGCUGCCAAACACACAACCCGUCUGUCUGGGUGCGUGGGUAAGGGGGGGUCAAACACCAAAAGAACAUUUACCCACGUCACCCAGUGCUCCCUCCCGGCUCAGGGGAGGACACGAUAAAAGUCCUUCAAUAAGUGGCUUGAUUGCCACACUGUCCACGUUAGUGAGCACAAGGAGGAACCCCUGUAAUGAGACUUUAUAAACAGAGACGCUUAUAAAGUGCUAGAGCUCAGAUUACAGCUAUAGUUAUAGACUUCCCCCAUGGUCAACGCAUGUGCAAUGAGCAGCAUCAAUGACAUUCCUUGGGCUCCUGCUUAAAAGGGGCAACAACGAUUACAAACUCCCUCGCCAAACUAUUAUCACCAAGAAUUGAGACAUACUCAUUUAAUUAUUCUCAAUAACUGACAUUCUGUGUUUAGAAAUUUGCCCAGAAUUGACAGUAGCCAGCCUGGCACUCUUGGUCUGGUUUGGCUACUGAAGCCAAAAUGGCGCUGCCGGAGGUGGACUUACUUCUAUAGCAGCAGAAGGGUUAAACUCCGUAUGUGCAGCUUUCAAAGCGAAGCCCUGCACGCACUGGUUCCAGGCACCAUAACCACUUCAAAUCACUGGAGUAACCCUUUAAAUUGGAAAUUCUCUUUGAAAUCUCGAUAAUUCACACUUUUGUGAAGAACCCAUUUAGAGUCUGGAGCACAUCGACAGAGCAUUCUGUCUCUACGCCAGUUGUGAGUCUAGUUAGAGAAAGUACAGUCAGGGCCGGAUUUCCCAUAAGGCUGCUGAGGACACGAGCCGACGCACAAGAAAAGACCGACCCUGUUGGACCCGGUAUCGCUGUUGUUACAGCAGGCGUGCUCAGGCGAGAGAAAUUGCUUUUUCCCCUUUUCGCCCGGAACCCAUAGCAGCAGGUCCUCUCUCCCCCGAAGGAACCACAGGAGAGCAUGCAGACAUUAUGUCAGCACUAUAACCUCACACUGCCGGCCUUAUGAACAGACAUGCAGGGGGACAGGAGGGUGGAACCCGUAUUAUAUAGAAGAGGGAAACAAGUUAGGAAUUGGGAGAAAAUUAAGAGAAUCGAGUGUGGGAAUGGGAACAACUGGAAAAAGAGAGAGUUAUGGGAAGAGGGCAUAAUUUAAGGAAAGGGGGAGGGGAACACAUGUGAGGGGAAGAUAAAAAGGGGAAGAUGAGAAUUAGAAGCACAGUGUACUAAAACAUGCUACUAAAACAUCACUAUAAAUAUACUCCUUCAUGCCCACACUAGCACUCUAGACAAAUACACCUGUCAUUCACUCACUGACACUCCACACAAAUACACCCGUCAUUCACUCACUGACACUCCACACAAAUACACCCGUCAUUCACUCACUGACACUCCACACAAAUACACCCGUCAUUCACUCACUGACACUCCACACAAAUACACCCGUCAUUCACUCACUGACACUCCACACAAAUACACCUGUCAUUCACUCACUGACACUCCACACAAAUACACCCGUCAUUUACUCACUGACACUCCACACAAAUACACCUGUCAUUCACUCACCAAGACUCCACAAAAAUACUCUUGUCAUUCACUCACUAACAAUCACACAAACAUACUCCUACAUACACACACACACAUUGCCAUUCUGCCACCCAGCCAGCCACAUACUCCAAACCAGUUAUAUUAUUACCUUAUCCUUCCCGUCAGAGAGUCCCAUCUCAGCUCCCAGUCUUACCCACAUUCACACACUUACCUACAUAACAUGUCACCUACCCCCACUCACCCUGUCACAUUUACACACUUACCUACAUAACAUGUCACCUACCUCCACUCACCCUGUCACAUUCACACACUUACCUACAUAACAUGUCACCUACUCCCACUCACCCUGUCACAUUCACACACUUACCUACAUAACAUGUCACCUACCCCCACUCUGUCCGGUCACCUACCCCCACUCACCCUGUCACAUUCACACACUUACCUACAUUACAUGUCACCUACCGCCACUCACCCUGUACUUAUUGUCAUCCAACCUAGUCAUAUUCACCGUACAGGCAUACUCCUAACUAUAGACAAUUAACUGUGCAAGAAAACAGCACUGAGUUAAUAAGUCCCUAUAUGCAGAUACGAGCAGUAUACCGAUAUAAAGUGCAUACAAUGAUUGCUGAUAGUCUUUCAGACAAACCUACUGACGAUGCUUUAGGGAGGAUCACAGUAGGAAAUGUUUCUGGCACAAAAAGACAAAAUAUAAAACCAUAGUGUAAAGUGUUUAAAAAGUAGACAGAGAGGAGGAUACCUUUGCUUGUAUCUGCUCGUAGGGACUUUUUAACUAAAUUGGGUUUUCUAACACACUUUAGCAACUUAAUUUUACAUUUCUUAAAUAGUGUUUUAUCCAGUCUUUGCACUAAAUAAAGUUGCUGCUACACUAAGUGAAUUGUUCUGUUUUUAGUAUAUUAUUUUUACACAAAUAAGCGCCAUUUAUUCACUUCGUAAUACGUGAUCAUCCAACCAUGUACCCCAAACUAGUCACAUUCAUCCAACCACGUACCCCAAACUAGUCACAUUCAUCCAACUAUGUACCCCAAACUAGUCCCAAUUAUCCAACUACACACCCCAAACUAGUCACAUUCAUCCAACCACGUACCCCAAACUAGUCACAUUCAUCCAACUAUGUACCCCAAACUAGUCCCAAUUAUCCAAUCACACACCCCAAACUAGUCCCAUUCAUCCAACCACAUUGCCCAAACUAGUGACAUCUAUCCAACCACAUACCCCAAACUAGUCACAUAAAUCCAUCCAAUUAUAUACCCCAAACUAGUCCCAUUCAUCCAACCACAUACCCCAAACUAGUCACAGCCAUCCAACCACAGCCAUCCAAUCACAUACCCCAAACUAGUCACAGCCAUCCAAUCACAUACCCCAAACUAGUUUCAUUCAUCCAAUCACACACCCCAAACGAGUCCCAUUUAUCCAAUCACACACCCCAAACUAGUCACAUCCAUCCAAUCACACACCCCGAACGAGUCACAUCCAUCCACACACACCACAUACCCCAAACUAGUCACAGCCAUCCAAUCACACACCCCAAACGAGUCCCAUUUAUCCAAUCACACACCCCAAACUAGUCACAUCCAUCCAAUCACACACCCCAAACCAGCCCCAUUUAUCCAAUCAUACACACCAAACUAGUCCCAUUCAUCCAAUCACACACCCCAAACGAGUCACAUCCAUCCAAUCACACACCCCGAACGAGUGCCAUUCAUCCAAUCACAUACCCCAAACUAGUCACAUCCAUCCAAUCACACACCCCAAACCAGCCCCAUUUAUCCAAUCAUACACACCAAGCUUCAUAUAUAUGGCAGGCUGGGGCGCAUUGAGGAAGCUGGCCUUGGGGCAGCAGAGAGGAUAAAUCCGGCCCUGAGUACAGUUACAAUUUUAAGAAAGCAGGGGCAGAAUAUCUAAGCUUCGGCGUCGGUAUGUAGAGUAUUAUGAAGGAAAAGCAGGGAAAAAAAUAGGAAAAUAUCUAAUAAGUACAAAAAAGAGACAAUUUCCAAGUAGACAUUUGUUUAUUAAAGGAAGACUUUAGCCACCAUAACAACUUAAUUGAAAUGAAUAUUUAAUGGUGCCUGGAGGUUCCUGGGCGCUUUCUUUAUCUGAAAUUGGAGUACUGAGUGCUUUCAGAAGCCAAAUGGCGGAGUUUAGGCGUAAUCUUUGGGGUUAAAGCAUUCGAGAAUAGCUUAACCUUUUUUAGGUAAGAAAGAGCCCACGGGCCUCAUGACCUCAUAACAACUUAAUUUCGAUUAAGUUACCAUACUCAGAGUGUUCCUGUGACCCUUAACACGUUACGUGCAAUAAUUUUACCUAUUGAGGAAACAACCCCGGGUGUAAGAAUACAAUUUCAAAAUAUCGUCAGCCUUUGAGCUACGGUGAUUUUGGCAGAACAACUCCUUGCCUUAAAAACACGGUGCCAACAAACAGAGGUCUAUUAGCUGAAUAGUGAAUUAUAUUGAAUUGAAAACUGGAUCCAGGCUAAUAUUACCAAGCCGAGAGGGAGUCCAGGACUUUUUUUGGAUCUGUUUUUUUGGGGGGAGCGGAUGAGGGGGGGUUGGCAUUCUAUAUAAAAUCUGUUUUCAGUUUACUACAAAUCAGUGUUUAGUGCAGAACUUACUAAAUACAGGACUUAAACCAUGAACAGCCAUGACUUAUUUGAGAAAUUGAAAAUGUUUUGCAAAAUAACCAAACUGUCAAAUUCCUCCGGCCGUGCAACGAAUCCAGCUCCAUUACUUUGGCCUUAAAUUUGUAAUUCCCUGGGGAAUUCCUGGCAAUUCACAGCUUAGUAAAUAUCCAUCACACUGUAUGGUGUAUUCUAGACCUCCCAAUUGCAAGAUUUAGGACAAAAAUUUUAAAAAAAAAAUGUUUACAAAAAAAAAAAAAAAGACAGGUAUUAUUAAAUUUCCAGUAUUUUCCACAUUUACUAGAGAAUCCAUCAUGAUGUAACAUCGCUGGUAAUUCUCCAGCUCCCAAGAUUAAACUAUAAACCAUGUUUGCUAAACUGCGCAAAACAAACAAACAGAAUCUGCUUGUCGUCCUCGGAUAAUUUAGCUGGGCAAUUCGGUUUUCAUGUCAGUUUAUCCACCAUUUUCCUCACUGCUAAACAUAGUUUGAUAUUUCCAUUUUCCUCUAUUUAUAACAUUUUAUAUUUCCGCUACCCUGACAUUGUAUUCAGUAAAAUAUCUCUGCCAAACCGAAAAUUGAUCAAUAGCUAGCCACAUGAGCCACAUGAGCCGCAGAGUUACAGUUGCCGUGUUGCCAGACAGGUUUUGAUUAAGAUAAAUUAUUUACUGAAGACUGCCGGUAAGUGCAGAACGAUGGCGGUAUAAAUGUCAAGAUUUAGAAAUCUGAAUUUAUUUAAUUAUUUUCAAAUAAAACAACCUCCAAACUCAGGUAUGGAGAAUAUAUUGCAGCUGGUAAUGCAAAAACUGUUUACUUAAAGGGACACUACAGUCACCCACGCCACUUCAACGCAGUACAGGUGUAGUUGUCCUUUCCUUUAACCCUGCUGUGUUAAACAAUGCAUUUUAUUGUAUUUUUGGGAGGUGAAAUCCACCUCUAGUGCCUGCCUUCCUGAGAGCCACUAGAGGAGUUUCCGUGGCACGGACUGAGUAAAAGUUGGUCAUGUGACACAGAAGGAUACAUAUUAUAUACAGUACUUUCCUAUGGGCUGUCAUUUUGAUUGGCUUUCACAGUAAGAAGGAACGUUGAUUGGCCGUCACAGUAAGAAGGAAAGGUGAUUGGCUGUUACAGUAAGAAGGAACAUUGAUUGGCCGUCACAGUAAGAAGGAACAUUGAUUGUCCAUCACAGUAAGAAGGAAAGGUGAUUGGCUGUCACAGUAAGAAGGAACGGUGAUUGGCCGUCACAGUAAGAAGGAACGGUGAUUGGCCGUCACAGUAAGAAGGAACGGUGAUUGUCCAUCACAGUAAGAGGGAACGGUGAUUGGCCGUCACAGUAAGAGGGAACGGUGAUUGGCCGUCACAGUAAGAAGGAACGGUGAUUGGCCGUCACAGUAAGAAGGAACGGUGAUUGGCCGUCACAGUAAGAAGGAACGGUGAUUGGCCGUCACAGUAAGAAGGAACGGUGAUUGGCCGUCACAGUAAGAAGGAACGGUGAUUGGCCGUCACAGUAAGAAGGAACGGUGAUUGGCCGUCACAGUAAGAAGGACCGGUGAUUGGCCGUCACAGUAAGAAGGACCGGUGAUUGGCCGUCACAGUAAGAAGGACCGGUGAUUGGCCGUCACAGUAAGAAGGAACUGUGAUUGGCUGAAAAUUAUUGAGAAUUCAUCAAGCAAAUUCAACAUUUUGGUGAAAAUAUCUGAUCUGGAAACCGCUGAAUUCUAGAAUAUUUGCAGUUUGCCGAUCUUGGUGUAACAUUUUAAAUUCCUAGUUUAGUUUAACCAUCAUUUUAUGAUCUGACACGAGGCAGGAGGCUGCUGUGAUUUUAGUUUAAAUCAUAAUGUAGCAAAUCAUUGGCCAACAGACACAAUUUAGCACAAUUGUUUUGGUCUACAUUUUGAAAUUCAUUUUUCAGUUUCCUGCAAUUAACUUUUUCAGCCAUUGGUCCUAUUCCAACACUUUGUAAAAUGCUGCUCCUGAGUAUUCAAGGUAUCAUAUAAUACUGAGACUUUAUCUGACACUGAGACUUCAGUGGUCUGUAUCCAAAUAAGGGGUCAUUAUCUUAUUGGGGAACGGAUUCUGCUCAGUAUUAUUCAUUUUGUGUUCAUUUAUCAUUACAUGUAAUAAAUAGGUAUUUGUGAGGUGUGAAAUUUAAAAUGAGAUGUAGAAAUCCCCACCUCUUUAUCCUAUAACUGCGUGGUGAUACAUAAGCUUUUGCAUUAAAGGCAUCGCUAUAUAUCAGCGUCAAACAAAAAUAAAUAUGCGUUAAAUCUGCUAUGACUGUGAACUAUAGCACUCUUGGUCCCCUAGGUCUGUCCCCCUCCCGAGACGAAAGGUACCACUUUGGUGACAUCCCAGGAAUGUGUAGAGGGAGAUCUGGAUAGACUUGGUGCGAGAUUGGACAGGCCCAGGUCCUUAAGAAAGGUGUCUGCAUCUGUUGGACUUAUGGCCUUAAUUUUUAGCAGUAAACGUUUGGCAUUUUUCGGAUAAUGUCCCUAAAAGCAUUAAGUGCUUGAAAUGUUUAGCUUGCUUUACUGGUAGCACAGAUGUAAUGAGGCAGCAUAUAAAUUGAGGCUUCUACUCGAGGGUUUGAGUAUGUGUAAUUCCUUAUUUUGAUAUUCUUCAGUCUAUCCUCACGGACUGAGGUGGAUUGGGAUGCCUGCAAGUUAUGUACGGUUUCCCCUAGUGCCAUUAGUCCCUGUUUAAUAUCCAGAACAUCCUCCUCUGUGACCUGUACAUGGGUUGUUACAUUGUAUGCCAUGGCUUUCACCAUGCUAGGUCAGAUAUUCGUAGUGUAUGUAUGUUACAUAGUUACAUAGCUGAAAAGAGACUUGCGUCCAUCAAGUUCAGGCUUCCUCACAUAUGUUUUUUUGCUGUUGAUCCAAAAGAAGGCAAAAAACCCAGAUUGAAGCACUUCCAAUUUUGCAACAAGCUAGGAAAAAAUUCCUUCUUGACCCCAGAAUGGCAGUCAGAUUUAUCCUUGGAUCAAGCCGUUAUUAUCCUACAUUAAAAGAUUAUAUCCUUGAAUAUUCAGUUUUUGAAAGUAUGCAUCUAGUAGCUGUUUGAACAUCUGUAUGGACUCUGAUAAAACCACUUCUUCAGGCAGAGAAUUCCACAUCCUUAUUGUCCUUACAGUAAAAAAACCUUUCCUUUGCCUUAGACUAAAUCUUCUUUCUUCCAGUCUAAACGCAUGGCCUCGUGUCCUAUGUAAAGUCCGGUUUGUGAAUAGAUUUCCACACAAUGGUUUGUAUUGGCCCCGAAUAUAUUUGUGUAAUGUUAUCAUAUCCCCUCUCAGGCGAUGUUUUUCUAAACUAAAUCGGUUUAAAUUUGUUAACCUUUUGUAAGCUGAUAUGUUUCAUACCUUUUAUUAAUUUUGUAGCCCGCCUCAUAGAGUUGGUUGAUGUCCUGCUUAGUAGCUGGGGUGUUAUCUUCUAACACCAUUGGCAUCACAUCGUCUGGUGUUGAUUUGCUAGGGUCUUAGUUUGGUUCUUGCAGGUCCUCCUCCUGUGAGACUGCAGGCCUCCGAAUCCAGUGGUAUUGCAGCCUUGUGAUGAGGUCUUCCCUGGAGUAUUUGCCUGAUAGCUCGGGACUCUUUAGUAUUAUGGAACUGAAGUUUCUGUAAUUUUCUUCCCAUCUUUUGAUCAACAGAUGACUACAAGUUGGGGCCAAUAGGUGAGUAGUCUCUCCAGGCUGUUAAUCGGUGUAGGAGAUCAUCCACUUCCCUGGCAUCACCUGUGCGGUAGGCCUUAGGUAUAUGGCGCCGGUUAUUGCCAAUGGCAAAAUAAUGAAAGUCAUCCAAGCAUGCAGAGCCCCUCCUAAAGACCUCUCUGGUGGUUGUUCAAGAGGAUGCAGACGUAGGUGAAGAUAUUUUGAGCAGAUUAGUUGAGAGGAGCUAAAAGAUAUGGCGUCUGUGCUGGUGCGCUGCUGACUCCGUCCCUCAUGAAUUUCACAUGAACAUGCCUGAGAAGCCAAGUUUAAAGUAUAGCUGAAAUAUAUUCCAUGUAGCUAUUCUGACCUUAAACUUGAAAUUCACACUUUAGUAAAUAUCCUUUUUUUUUCCUGACACUUUUUAUUACUCUUUCGGAUUUAUUUAAUUAAUGUUCAAUCCACUGGGACUGACAAAAUUGUGAACCACAAAAAGAACCAAAAUGAAACCGGAGAAUAAAGUGAUGGAAGAGCCAUCGCAAGGAAUAUUUUAUAAUUAUUCCGUCCAAUUGUACAUAGACUUUAAAUACAGAGGUUUCAUAACCAUACAGAACCUUUAUGGCACCGAGUUAGAUACUUAGAUAGCUCUGUAAAGCCUGCAUUAUCCACCGUCCGCCCAUAAUUUGCUUGGUGCCGAGCUUAGCUACAGAGUUGGACUCCAGUUAAUGCCAAAGACUGACUCUGACUCAUAUCAUUUAUUUCAAUGAAUGCAGGAAGACCAGAAAACACACAACCCAAAUUUAUACAGCAGGAAUCAGAGCAAACGUAGGCACAGAUUUAUCUUAAAGGGACACUAUCCAUAACUACUGCUGAUUAAUGUAGGGGUAAUGUAGAAGGACUCUUCAAGUGCAGGCAUUGCAUUUUCUAUGAAACAGUUUUCAAACCCGAACUCUCACAAACUCUGGUUAACUCACUAAACCUUAUAGCUGAAAGCAUCAAAGUGAAUUGUUGGUGUAGGACUCGCCAAACAGGUCUGCCUUGAUGGGGAAGGUGAGUGUGCACCUGUAUGGCCAUUGGAGUGAUAUUAAAAAACACCAGUUGGUUACUUGCGCUUUAUCCGAAAACACUAUGCACAUUUAAAUUUUUUUGAAUUUUUUUUGAAAUUUUUGUCUUCUAUCUAUUCGCACUAAUGAAUACUGUAGCCAUUGCUGCCGCCCACGAGUAGUGGGAGUUUGAGUACAAGCCUUAAUUUUGUGUGUUUAUAGCCCACUACAUAAAGCUUGUUGCAGUUAUGGUACUUAGUGUUUCGUCAACUGAUUUUGCUAGUGAAGGGAAGCUAAAACCGCCCAUCCACUGAUACGCCGCUCCACGUAUGUCAUAUGCCGUAUGUUGCGUGGAAUGUAACACUCAGUAUUUCUGUCAUGUGUUCACAACAAUAGCUUGGGCAUUAGUGCAACUCCGUGGGAACUGAUGUGUACAUUUUUGUGCACAACGGAGUGCAAAAAACACAAAUGUUGCGUUAAAGGUACACAUUAAAGCAUAUUAAAAAACCUUUUGUUUAUCAGCAUUUAUAUAGCCUCAAUAAAACACUUUACCAGUGUACAAAGCGGAUAUAAUGGCAAAUAAGGGACAAACUGUUUCAAAUUAUAACCGUAAUAAAAGGUUAGUAAAGGCUCUGCUCAGAGAGGCUCACAAUCUGUGUCCAUUUUUUAAUCUUAAGCAGUUUGUGUAGUGUACUACAAUGCCUUAAAAACCAGCUAUAAUCAAUCUAUAUUGAACUUGCUCUCACUUCGAUAUAUCGCCUUAGCGCGGCUCUGCGGACCCGAUAGAUGCUUUACUGAUUCUCUCCAGAUAUCCCCUAAUUAACCCUCUGCAAUAAUGAGCAGCACAUGUGCUCAGGACCUGAGAACUUCAAAGGCAGCGACGAAGGGAACUCGAGUAAUUAGAGGGAAAACAUCCGUGUUUUUAUGGGUGGUUAUUUUCUUGAUUUUUGACUUAAGGGGUUUAAGCUGACUAUAUAAUAUUGGCUAUUUCAAAAAACAAAGGAGUCAGAUUUUAGCCGUUUUGGACGGUGUGUUCAGCUUUUGGUUUUUUUAAAUGUUGUAAAUAAGUAAUCAAUCUCACAAGGACGAAUAAAAUGUAGAAUUUAUAGAUCGGCAUCUUAAAAUAAUGUUCAUAAAAGUUUAACUCCAGUUUAAUCUCACACAAAAAAUAGCUUUGUUUACCGUUCAACAACCCAGGUAAUUAUUGUUGUGUGUGUGUGUGUGUGUGUGUGUGUGUAGAAGCAGCCAUUUUGGAAUUGCCUCACUGUUUUUAAGCUUGUUCCUUUGCAGUUUCCUGAGUUGCUCUAAUUAGUUUGCACCAUGUCAUUGUGUUAGGAUUAGAAGUUUAAAAUGUACGGUAUACGGCUACGCAUGUACUGAGUGCGCAGGUGGAUUCCGAAACAUCCAGAACUUUGUGUUUCAUUUUCACGAUCGGCGCUUGUAUUGGCACAUUAGCUAAAUUCCUAUUAAUAAUUAUUUUAUCUUAAACUAAACGGGGAGCACCCAAGAUUAUUUUCCAUUGAUAUUUUGGAUUCGGCUGAACAAUGCGAAUUUAAAGAUUGGAAUCUGGAGAAAACCAAGGAUCCAAGCCAGAGGAAGUACCAAUCCUCAUCCAUACAUUUAUUUCCAACUGACAAAAACAUGUGUAUUUUUCAGCCAAUGCCGUCCAGCCAACAAGGUUAAUUAGCCAAUUUCAGUAGCCGAAAUAUGACCUCCUUCCUGAUUGGUCGAAAUGUCUACUGGUCACCAGGCUUUAAGGACGGUCUAUUACUCAAUGAAUACAUUUAAAUGCGAUGCACAGGGACACCUGAGACCCCUCAGCCAUUAAAUGGUUAUCUGCAGGUAAUGAGAUCUGUAAUCUGACCAAUUUGUAACUGUCGCCAAUUGAAUUAUAAAACAACAACAAAAAAAGCAUAUAUCUUGGCAACACAUCACAAACAAAGCCGAGCACGCAUAUUUUAACAGAUCCGACUCUCAAGAUGAUUCUGAAGCUGUUAACAAAAAUAAACCGUCCUUUUUAAUAAAAUGCAACGUUUGUAAGUUAUAGCUGGUUGUUUCUAUCUGUCUGGGAAGAAGACUUGUCUUUCCUUGUCUUGGCGUCUAGGAAGGAAUUCUCAAAUCUCUCGUCUUUUGGAACAACGUGACAAGAUAAAUUUGAUUGCCCCGACGCAGGUCGUACUUUCCAUGUCCAGCUGUGUAACUGUCUGUUAUACAGAGAUGAACGGCACGGAAAGGCCUCAAACUAUGAGUGUUUUCUUUUAUUGGUUAUUGUGAAGAAUAAAACGAUUAGUUUGUUCAUUUACAUCUGGAAAUGCAUUUUUAUAUUUUGCUUAAUAAACUAAAAACAAGUGUAUCUUUGUUACAUGGACAUUUAAAAUACUUUAUUGUAAAAUAUAUUUUAAAGAACGCUGAGGGCUGGAACUAGCUUAUUUCUUUCCUGCAUAAUAAAUAAUUACAUUUAAAAAAAAAAUAUAUCAACCCUGAAUGCCCUCGUCUGUAGCAUGUUAUCAAGAUCUGCAUUAAGUCCUCGGAGACCAGGGAAUGGUUGGCGUCUUGAAAACAAUCUUGGUUCUUCUGUUGCUUUUAGCUAAAGUACUGUAUGUGGCCCAUACAUCCCAUCACAGUGGUUUAUGGGAAAUGUAGUGAAUUAUUUGUUAUCAGCAUUGCAGACUCAAUAGCAGGUAAUUUAAUUCAUCAUGUUUCAUCGUGUUUCUGGUCUGUAUCUGCUUUUUAUUAAGACCUGUGCGGUGGUGCUGUCCUACGAAUGUUUAUUCUUUUCCAUGUUUUAUUACUUUUAUUUCUUUUUUUGCACAAACUAUAAAUUGGGCAAAACAAAAACAGGAUGUCCAUUAUUCUCUGUCUUCUGAUAGAUCAGUCAUAGCCUGUUUAUAGCAUUAAAACUUAUAAUUAAUUGUGCAAAUAAGCUUGGUAGCCUCAAAAAGGACUUAGUCCAACAGGAUAAUCAUCUGACAGUCUCUGUACCUCAGGAUACCAGGUCUCAAAAUCAGGUAUAAUGAUGACAAAAAAGUGAUUGUGUUUUUUGUUAUAUAGGACUUAGUGAUCCUUUUGUCAGUGGUUUGCCUGCACGCUUUUGCACGUUUUUGAUGCCACACCUGUUUUAUGUGUUUUAUAGCGUGUUAUAGGCCUGGAAUGCAAUUUUAAUAAAUUCAUCCCUCUCGCCCCCUCACCGUGUGCCAUUACUGCACGUAUGGAGUGCCUGACUAAUGAUACAAUGUGAAAUAGUACAGAGGAGACAACCUUCAGCACUCCAGAGGUUGGGGACCACAUCUGCCCAGAUGCUUUGCCAGCAUGAGGUCUGUAAGAGCUUUAUGGUAGAUAUAGUCCACACAAUGACUGGAAUGCCAGAGUUAGAUCGCCUCUGAUUAGCGGUUACUGAACAUACUGGCUUUGCGUUAUUAUUAUUAUCAUGUGGGCGGCAACAAACUGUAAGAUACCGGACCUUGUCUCUUACAUAGUUACUAAGAUGGCAACAAUGUUGGCAGCCUUUAAAUAGUCAUUUCAUUUAAAAUACCUUUUAUUAAAUACGUAUUUCAGAUUUAACAUCAGGAGUAAGGAAAGAUUGAGAGUUUGACUCCGACUGAUACAAUUUGUAAGAUCAUAUCAUACCGGAAUGGUCCUUUUUAAGGUUUUCAUUGCGAUGAUGUCAUAGCCCUGUGAGGGCUAAUGUUAGGGUGCUUUAGCUAGCCACAAACUGCUAACAGGUAAAAGAGCAUGCAUAUUCUGAUUUCUCAAAUGUAACCAGCUAUAGAAUAGUCAGAUUUACUGAUUUCAUUCCACCCAUGGUGAGAUAGCUGGGUGCCUGUGUAUAACACAGAGGAAGUUGUUCAGUUAGAUACGUUAUCUGUACUGGCUGGCUAUCUGCCACUAGGUGUGAGCAGAUAAUAUUUAUCUGGACGUGGCAGGGAGUAUCACACAGAUAGGAACACGUGUUCAAACAAUAAGGAAUCGUUAGUGUUGAUUAAUGGUUGACUUUAGCUAGGUUUAUUAACUAAAAACAGGAUUAUAGAAUAAUUAAUAUUGAUUUAUAUUGGGGGGGGGAGGGGCUGCUAUUUUAGUGUACAUUUUUCAACUUGGGAGUCACGUUAUUAGCUGCUGGCUGUAAGCGCUGAGAAAAGUUCUUAGUAGACGUACGAGAGAUGGGAAAAGUCCAGCAGUUUCCCAUAAACUCAGUAUUCAAAACUGUAAGGCUGGCUUAGCACCAUGGGAAAUGUAGUUCCCAAACCUAUGGAUCGACACAACUAUCCAAUUAAAUGUUGUGACGAGUCCACACAUUACUUCACACAGAGUAUGUCAAGCCGCUGCAUUCACAAACAGAGCGAGAUAUUAUGAAUGAACCAACACUGAUAUUGUUGCAUGCCUUGCAUGGCACUUAAUCACUGGCUAGCCAUCAUUGACAUAGCUCAUGUGCUUUACUGCUAACAAAAUGGUUUCUAAUGCUGGGUAUUUUAUUCUGUUGCAGAUGGCGGAGUAGAUUGACAUAAAACGAUGGAUGGAGAUGGUCACCCCAUUAAGACAGAACAAGAAAACGUUAAUAUAUAAAUAGCCCUCCUGUUAUGUUCUACUAGCCCUUUCCCAGUCUCUGCAACUCCCAUUACCCCAUGUACUUUCUCUUACUGGUUGGAUCCUUUGAUACAUAAUUAAAAAACAGAGGUCACAGAACAACAUCAGCAGACAAACACAAAGAGUAUUGGGAUAUAAGCUUUCUCAUGUUCCAUGUAGACCUGUUCAGGUUUUACAUAGACCAUUUAAACUCCAGAUCUCUCGUCUUGGGACCAGGUGGACUACAGAGCUUUCAUGAUGUCUUGGGGUCAGGUGGACUACAGACCUGAUAUAUUCCUCAGGCUGAUAUCUUAUCUCCUUACUGAAUUUUGAAAAUCUUUCAGUAUCUUAUGCAUUGCUUAUUUGUCAAGCUUGGCUCCUAAACUGUUUGGUUUCUAGCAUAAUGUAAGUUUUCUUAGAUUUAACAUCUCCAGAAGAAUUAAAGGAUCUGAGCUUCUGAGUAUUGAAAGUCCAACUGUCUCUUAAGCUCUCAUAUGUGAAUCAAACCAGAAUACGGUGGGUCUUGUGCCGGGGCUGGUAGGAUUCCUGGCAGAGUGAUUUAGAAAUGUAUGGUAACAAAUCACAUUGCCAGGGAUUUCCAAUCAGUCAAAGGUCUAUCGUCCCCUUCUGUAGUAUGUGGUCCAAUGAGGCCAUGUGUGUACGUGUAAAGAGAUCUUUCCAGGCAUCUGGACUGCAAACAUUGGCAUUAACCGAGCUGCUUAAUAUGCUGGGACUAAAAAGAAACCGAUCUGCUUUAAUGAAUUUCUGCUGGAAAUGGAAGUCAUGCUGGAGUUGGGAUGACAUUCAGAGGCAAUGUAGCCUCCAGAGAGGCAGGACUUAGCUGGCUCUGUGAACAGGUCUCACUGGAUUUGAUGUUCACAGUGGCUAAGUUCCAACUCACUGAGAGACACUAACCGUUGCCUCCAACAGCCAUCGAUUAAAUGUGUGUAUCAAUAAAAUGGAUUGAUAAAUUACUACACACUAUACAUAAAGGCAAGUAUAAAAGGGGUUUAUUCCCUAAAUAGUAAAUUGUGGAGAACUGAAAACUGGAUUGAAAACCAGAGGCCACAGUAGCCACACAGUGAUUGGGGCCAAGGUCUGUGAAUGUUUGCCCUAACAGUCACAAUACAGCCCUAUGGUUUUGCCAAAUAGAUUAGGGUUUAUUAACUAAACAUUGAAUCAUACUGAAUUGAAAAACAAAUUGUGAAUACGAGGGGAAAUCUCUAAACUGUGACCGUUGUUAAAUAGUAGAAUUUUGCCAGAAUUUUUGGGCAAACUUUAUCAAUUCAGUUUUCCAUUCACCGCCGUUGACUCUUUUGAGAAUAAAUUAUUUUACAUGUAGUGAAUGCAGGUAAGUGAUGUGCCAGAGUAGGUUUUGCUGGUGAUGCGCUACAAUCCUGGCAGAGGAGAAGAUAUGGUAACGUGAUCUGUACAAUUAAAUAGCCUUAUUGUUCAAUGAUGAAUUGGAAUGUGAUGGCAUGUAACGUUGAUCCGAUAGGAUAAAGAUAAUAAACAUAAUUACUGAUUAUUCAGUCUGGUGAUGUGUAAUUGGUGUGCGGAUGUCAGAGCUCCAUACUUUGCUCUCUGAUUGCUCCCAGGUGAUGGGACGCUGCUGAGCUUAUUUCAUAGAGUAACUGAAUCAACAGCCGGUAUUGGGGACACGUGGCCCCCCCUUCUUAAUCAU